rnacentral:lncRNA from 1 species
UCAAAAUCUGAUACUUGUUUUAAUUUACGUUAACUUUUCGUUAACAAUUGUGAGACACGAAACAGCUUGACCAUGAGAUCUCCCUCAUGGAGUCAAAACCCGUGUUGGUAUCUGUUUUUAGAUCAACUUAUAUAUAUAUAUAUAUAUAUAUAUAUAUAUCUUGUGGAUAAAAGGAAAGUUUACAAGUGAGAAUAGUGGCAUUUUUCUGACAGAUUUCACACCGUUGCUUGUUUUGCAGUUGACUGUGAUUGAAGGUCGAUUAAUCAUCACUGGGCACUCGAUGGGAGGAUCCGUUGCUUCUCUCUUCACCUUAUGCCUGCUAGAAGUCAUUAAUAUAUCAAAACCCAAAUGCCGCCCCAUUUGCAUCACCUUUGGUUCACCCCUCAUAGGCGACUUUGGCCUCCAACACUCCAAUUGGAAUUCUUUCUUCUUGCAUGUAGUGUCCAACCAAGAUCUAGUCCCCGGACUCUUCCUCCCAUCCGGCAGAUCUCCUCCCACAUCCUCCCAUUCACAAACUACUGGUUACAAGCCCUUUGGGACAUAUCUCUUGUGCUCUGAACUUGGUUGUGCUUGUUUUGACAACCCUGAUUUAAUUUUGGAAUUGCUGAAAGUCAUAUCAUCAGAGGUUGCCGGAGGAUUGCGGGAUGUUGAUUACAGGAAGAUUUUAAUAAACCUCAAGGAGAGGGCAAUCUUCAAGGGACUUCAGCAGGUGGGUGAAAGGUUUGCAGAUCCCUUGUCAGCUGGGAUCGUCAUGGACCUUGAGAUAAUUGGAUUUGAUCAAACAAAGGUAAACAGCUUUCUCCCAAUUAAUGAUGUAGUAUGGUUUACACUCAACUUCACCAAAACCUGCAACAACUGCCCUAUUUAGAUUUGCCUUCCUGUUCUUUGGGUUCUUCUAUAACUUCUCAUUUUUUAAAUUCAUGGCAGCUGUUGCGGCACAACAUUGAUAUCAACACUGUGAUAAGGAUACUGGGAGUGGAAGCCAGAAUCCUAGCCCACAAAAAUAAAGCUUCUGAUGCCAAGAAACUGAAUGACAUAAAAAUACACAUGGCCCAGCUAGAAUGGUAUAAGAAGAAAUCAAAAGAUCUGAACAAGGGUUACUACGACUGCUUCAAAAACCAGGGGUCAAAAAGGGACAUUAAAAUUGAACAGUAUAGGGGACACCUCACAAUAUACUGGAAAGACAUGGUUGCACAAGUACAGAGGAAGCCCCAGAAGGAAGGAGCAUCAUUUCGAACCAGUUGGCUCUAUCCAGGGACAACUUAUAGAAGAAUGGUUGAACCACUGGACAUUGCUGCCUUCUACAGAGAGGGUAGAACAGACUACAUAAACAAUGGAAGAUCUCCUCAUUACAAGCUGUUGCAGCAAUGGUAUGAGGAAGAUGUGAAGCCCCCAUCCAGAGAUAAGCUCGAUUCCAAGAAACUAAAGGUGUCUGGUAUCCUAACUGAGGAUUCUUUGUUUUGGGCACAUGUGGAGGAGGCUCUCUUGUCAUGCGAAUCGCUCAAGAGUGCAAACUCUACUCUUGAGCAGAGAAAAUCAUCAUGGGAUAAUCUGGUUAAGUUUGGGGAGUAUGUAAUGGAACAGAUUGGAAACUAUGCAGUGUCCCCUGAGAUUUUCUUGGGGGAAAGCAGCUUCAUGAAAUGGUGGGGAGUGUAUGAGGACUACAUAGAUGCUUCCAAUAAUUCCUAUGGGUCACCAUUGAUCAGCUUUAUGAAGAACCGUAGUUAUAGACUGUAUGGUUAGAGGGCAAUCCAGUUUGUGUAUUGUGUUUAUUGUAUUGUGAGCAUUCAAUAGAUAAAACUAGAAAGAGCGUGACCUUUUUAUGACAACUUUAGAAACCAGGGGUUAAAAGAGACAUUACAAACUGAAGUUUUUGAGAGGAAACCUCAAGAGUAUACUGGGAAGCCAUGGUGGAACAAGUAGAGAGGAAGCCUCAGAAGGAAGGAGCAAUGGUUGAACCACUUGACAUUGUUGCCUACUACAGGGAGGGUGUAAGAAACAACAUAACCGAGGGAAGAUCUGAACGUUAAACGUUGUCCAAUUAUUAUAAAUGUCUUAUACAUUACGUGUGAAAAUACCAAAAAAAAUUAUAUUCAACAUUUAUGUUUGUAUACAAGCAAUAUUUUGGAUAGUUUGAUAUAAAAAACAAAUGAAGAAAAUGAAGAAAAACAUACAAAUAUAUUUACAAUGGACAAACUUAUACAAUUAGUAUAAAUGUCUUGUAUAUUUAGUACAAAUGUCUCGUACUUUGUAAAAAUAUAAAAAUAUAGUAUUUGACUUUUAUAUAUGUGUGAAAAUGUAAAAAGAAAAAGAAAAAUAGUUAGAGCAUUUGGUACCGUGAGUGAUGACUUCACCUAAAGAAAGGUUAAUGAAUAUUAUGGUCUCGAUGGAAGAGCGACUCCGGUAAAAUAUAUGGAUUAAAUUGAUGCUUUUCUUUUGACGAUGAAGUAGUUGAGUUAUGAAUACGAGGUUUUGCUAACAGCAUUGAAGGCAAGGAUUCCCUAAUAUACUCCAAUUCAUAUUCAAUUUGUAGACCUUCAACUAACUACUCUUGCUAACGAGCAUAUCCAAGUCAAUACAUAAGAUUAAUUAAGAUUAAGUAUUACGUAUGAUAAUUGAAACCCUAUUUAAAUAAAUAAUGACACAUAUAUAAAAAAUAUAUAUAUUUUUAAAAAAAUAAAUAACAAUUUAGAGAAUUUCAUAACUUAGCAUCAAACCUAUUGUAAGAAAGAGUAUUAUACAAUGUAGGGUUUAGGAUCCAAGUCAACCUAAGAUCAAAUUUAAGUUUUAAGAUCAAUUCACAUUCAAAACUAAGGUUUUAAGUUUCAAAAAUAUAUUUCUUAAACCAAUUAAAUGGAAAAAAGAAAAUUACAAAGAAAAUUUCUCCCUCAUCAGUUUCUUUUAUCUUGAAAACUAAAGGAAAUAUAUAUCAAUAUUUGAGAUGGAAAUUCAUAAUCUUAGGUGGUGUUUGUUUUUUUGGCUUUUUGCUGAAAACUAUUUAGUUUUAGAAUUUAGGUUUUUUUUUUUUUUUACUUUUUCAUGACUUAUAAUAAACUUUUUACUAAAUAGAAAAAACCAAAAUAUGUGGUUUUUUCUAAAUAGAAAAAAUAACACAAUGGUUUUUUUUACUUUUUAAUACUUAAUAGAAAUAAAAUACUACAAAAACAAACAUCUUAAUAUUUAAUACUAUUAAGUAUUAAGGUUCUAUUUAGAAUUAAGUAAAAAAACAAACACCACCUUAGAAACACAAAGAACAAAGAGAGUAUGAAGAGACCAUACCAUGAGAGAUUUUCCGAAAGGUUGGUAAACCAUGGUAAUCACCUUUGAGUCUUGCUGAGAAAAACAAACCUUAUUUAUUUUUAUUUUUUUAUCAUUUUUUCUCUUGUGUGGUGUACAUUUAAGAAAAACAAAUCUCAAAAAAAAAAAAAAACACAAACCAAAUAAUGCCAGAAUUUGGGUUGAGAAACACCCAAAAGAUAGUGGCCCAAUACAUGUGCCUAAGAAAAUCUUCAUGAGCCGAUAAACAUAGUCACAAAACUAGUAACAGCCUUGUAGCCAUAGUUGGUGUAGUAUGAGCAAGUGGGGUAUGAAGUAGGUAGGUGAGUAUUGCAAUGAAAUUUCCAGCACUGCUUCCUGAAUUAAGAAAUCACAUACCCAAGUCUUAGUCGUCGUCGUCGUCGUACCGUGUGAGAACCGGGAAGAAUCUUUGCUCGUAGACUGGCUUUUGUAGUCUUUCUUUAACAAUUACAAGUUAUCUGAAUUCCCUUCAUCCUCCUAUAUAAUAUUGUUUUGGUCUUGUUCUUGUUGCAUUGUGGCUAGGCAUCUCCAUGGAAGGAAGGAGGAUGAAUCAAGUUCCUUUGUAUGAAUCAAUUUCUCUGCUCUUUUUUUUUUUCAAUCCUUGAAUCGAAUCAUUGCUUAGUUCUUGCUUUAAUUUCUCCAUUUUCUGUUGGGUCUUUGAUUGCAGGUUUAGCUCUGCAAGAGAACUGGGAAAUUUAAUUGUGACCUCCAAUCUAAUCGACUCUGCUUUGACUAAAAUUCUUGAGCUUCAAAGAGACCAAACAGCCUUGCUUUCCCCCGUUCAAUACAGAGUUUUUUUAUCCAUCUCCCAACUGCACAAUUGUAGCUUUUGUCUCUUCACCUGACUGCACUCAAAACCCUCUUCCUGGACAAGGAGAUUUAGUUCCCUCUCCUCUCUUUGACUUCCUCUGCACCGAAGAAUACAAGUCCGUCUCCAUUAACAGAGCUGCAUUAACCCUCUUUACCUCUCUCCACGAUCAUCUCUCUGGACUAAAAACUCAGGUCAAAAUAUGAUAGUUGUUUUUAUUUUCGUUUCCUUUUUGUUAACAAUUGUGAGACAUGAAACAGCUUGACCAUGAGAUCUCUCUCAUAGAGUCAAACUACCUGAAGAAGAAGAAGACGUUACACAUAUCCAUCUGCGUUGCAUCAUCGCAUUACCCAUUGAUCGGUUGUGAUUCAACUCUUAAUAGGAAGACAGUAGAACUGGUGUUGGUAUCUGUUUUUAGAUCAGCUUAUAUGUAUCUUGUUGCUAAAAAGGGAAUGUUUAGAAGUGAGAUUAAUGGGAUUAUUCUGACAUGGAUUUCAUAUGGUUACCUGUUUUGCAGUUGACUGUGAUUGAAGGUCAAUUAAUCAUCACUGGGCACUCCCUGGGAGGAGCCGUUGCUUCUCUCUUCACCUUAUGCCUGCUAGAUGAAAAUUUAUUAAAACCCAAAUGCCGCCCCUUUUGUAUCACCUUUGGUUCACCCCUCGUCGGCGGCUUUGGCCUCCAACACUCCAUAUGGAAUUCUUUCUUCCUGCAUGUAGUGUCUAACCAAGACCCAGUCCCCGGUCUCUUCCUCCCAUCUGGCAGAGGCAGAUCUACGCCCACAUCCUCCCAUUCACAAACUACCGGUUACAAGCCCUUUGGGACAUAUCUCUUGUGCUCUGAACUUGGUUGUGCUUGUUUUGACAACCCUGAUUUAAUUUUGGAAUUGCUGAAAGUCAUAUCAUCAGAGGUUGCCGGAGGAUUGCAGGAUGUUGAUUAUGGGGAGAUUUUAAGAAACCUCAAGGAGAGGGCAAUCUGCAAGGGACUUCCGCAGGUGGGUGAAAGGUUUGCAAAUCCAUUUUCAGCUGGGAUCAUCAUGGAACUUGAGACAAUUGGAUUUAAUCAAACAAAGGUAAACAGCUUUCUCCCAUCUAAUGAUGUUAUGGAACAUGGUUUACACCUCAUUAAAUACUGCAACAACUGCCCUAUUUAGAUUUACCUUCUUGUUCUUUGGGAUUUUCCAUAACUAGACUCAUUUUUUAAUUUCAUGGCAGCUGCUGCAGCAUAACAUUGAUAUCGAGACUGUGAUAAGCGCAAUGGAAGCGGAAGCAAGAAACCUAACCCAGAAAAAUAAAGCUUCCGAUGCCAAGAAACUGAAUGAAAUAAAAAUAGACAUGACCCGGCUAGAAUUGUAUAAGAAGAAUUCGAACAUGGGUUACUACGAUUGCUUCAAAAACCAGGGGUCUAAAAGGGACAUCCACGUUGAACAGUUUAGGGUAAACCUCACAGGGUACUGGGAAGGCAUGGUUGCACAAAUACAGAGGAAGCCUCAUAAGGAAGGAGCAACAUUUCGAACCCGUUGGCUCUAUGCAGGGACGGUUUAUAGAAGAAUGGUUGAACCACUGGACAUUGCUGCCUUCUACAGAGAGGGUAGAAAAGACUACAUGAAUAAAAGAUCUGCACAUUACAAGCUGUUGCAGGAAUGGUAUGAGGAAGAUGUGAAACCCCCCUCUAGAGAUAAGCUUGAUUCCAAGAAGCAAAAGGUGUCCAGUAUCCUAACUGAGGAUUCUUGCUUUUGGGCACAUGUGGAGGAGGCUAUCUUGUCAUGCGAAUUGCUCAAGAGUGAAAACUGUAAUCUUGAGGAGGGAAAAUCAUCAUGGGAUAAUCUGGUUAAGUUCGAGGAGUAUGUAAUGGAACAGAUUGACAACUAUGCAGUGUCCCCUGAGAUUUUCUUGGAGAAAAGCAGCUUCAUGAAAUGGAGGGGACUGUAUGAGGGCUACAUAGAUACUCGCAGUAAUUCCCAUAGCUCGCCAUUGAUCAGCUUUAUGAAGAAUCGUAGUUAUAGACAAUAUGGAUAGAGGGGUAAUCCAGUUUGUGUGUUGUGUGUAUUGUUUUGUGAGCAUUCAAUGGAUAGAACUAGAAAGAGUGUGACCUUUUCCUUUUUUUUUUCAGUUGCUGCCCAUAUUCUCAGCACUAUUUUCUUCCUUCUUUUCCUCAGUUUUUUUGUUAAGAAAUGAAUAUUAUGAUGUUGCCGGGAUGCACUUUCAUUUUUGUUCCAUUACAUUGUGUUUUAUUCAUAUCCUAAACAAAUAAAUGUAAACAAGAAAAUCAAAUGAGACUUCAAAGAGUCUGUUCCUUUUAAAGCAAGGGAAAAAAAGGACAUGUUUGUUUACUUCCACAGCUGGGUAGAUUCAACUCCACCAAAAUUGGCAACAACUUCCCAUUGAAAAAUUCCUUUUAAGCUUGAAUGACAUAAAACUAGAUAUGUUCCAGCUAGAAUGGUACAAGAAAGAAAUCAAAAGAUGAGCACAAUGGGUUAUUAUGACAGCUUUAGAAACCUGGGGUGUAAAAGAGACAUUAAAAUGGAACCGAGGGGAAGACAUUGUAGAACAAGUAAAGAGGAAGCCUCACCAGGAAGGGCAGCUUUGCAAACCCUCUGGCUCUGUACAGGAACGAAUUAUAGAAAGAUGGUUGAACCACUUGACAUUGCUGCCUACCACAGAGAGGGUGGAAGAAACUACAUAACCAAUGGAGGAUGUAAACAUUACACGCUAUUAGAGCAAUGAUGCAAUGAAGAGAAGGGGACUUUGUCUUCCAAUAAUUUAAGAAAAUAAAACCAAAUAAUGCCAGAAUUUGGGUUGAGAAACACCCAAAAGAUAGUGGCCCAAUAUGAAGUAGUCACAAAACUAGUAACAGCCUUGUGGCCAUAGUUGGUGUAGUAUGAGCAAGUGGGGUAUGAAGUAGGUAGGUGAGUAUUGCAAUGAAAUUUCCAGCACUGCUUCCUGAAUUAAGAAAUCACAUACUCAAGUCUUAAUCGUUGUCAUCAUACCGUGUGAGAACCGAGGAAGAAUCUUUGCUCUUAGACUGGAUUUUGUAGUCUUUCUUUAACAAUUACAAGUUAUCUGAAUUCCCUUCAUCCUCCUAUAUAAUAUUGUUUUUGGUCUUGUUCUUGUUGCAUUGUGGCUAGGCAUCUCCAUGGGAGGAAGGAGGAUGAAUCAAGUUCCUUUGUAUGAAUCAAUUUCUCUGCUCUUUUUUUUUUCAAUCCUUGAAUCGAAUCAUUGCUUAGUUCUUGCUUUAAUUUCUCCAUUUUCUGUUGGGUCUUUGAUUGCAGGUUUAGCUCUGCAAGAAAACUGGGAAAUUUAAUUGUGACCUCCAAUCUAAUCGACUCUGCUUUGACUAAAAUUCUUGAGCUUCAAAGAGACCAAACAGCCUUGCCUUCCCCCGUUCAAUACAGAGUUUUUUAUCCAUCUCCCAACUGCACAAUUGUAGCUUUUGUCUCUUCACCUGACUGCACUCAAAACCCUCUUCCUGGACAAGGAGAUUUAGUUCCCUCUCCUCUCUUUGACUUCCUCUGCACCGAAGAAUACAAGUCCGUCUCCAUUAACAGAGCUGCAUUAACCCUCUUUACCUCUCUCCACGAUCAUCUCUCUGGACUAAAAACUCAGGUCAAAAUAUGAUAGUUGUUUUUAUUUUCGUUUCCUUUUUGUUAACAAUUGGGAGACAUGAAACAGCUUGACCAUGAGAUCUCUCUCAUAGAGUCAAACUACCUGAAGAAGAAGAAGACGUUACACAUAUCCAUCUGCGCUGCAUCAUCGCAUUACCCAUUGAUCGGUUGUGAUUCAACUCUUAAUAGGAAGACAGUAGAACUGGUGUUGGUAUCUGUUUUUAGAUCAGCUUAUAUGUAUCUUGUUGCUAAAAAGGGAAUGUUUAGAAGUGAGAUUAAUGGGAUUAUUCUGACAUGGAUUUCAUAUGGUUACCUGUUUUGCAGUUGACUGUGAUUGAAGGUCGAUUAAUCAUUACUGGGUACUCGAUGGGAGGAUCCGUUGCUUCUCUCUUCACCUUAUGCCUGUUAGAAGUCAUCAAUUUAUCAAAACCCAAAUGCCGCCCCAUUUGUAUCACCUUUGGUUCACCCCUCAUAGGCGACUUUGGCCUCCAACACUCCAAUUGGAAUUCUUUCUUCUUGCAUGUAGUGUCCAACCAAGAUCUAGUCCCCGGACUCUUCCUCCCAUCCGACAGAUCUCCUCCCACAUCCUCCCAUUCACAAACUACUGGUUACAAGCCCUUUGGGACAUAUCUCUUGUGCUCUGAACUUGGUUGUGCUUGUUUUGACAACUCUGAUUUAAUUUUGGAAUUGCUGAAAGUCAUAUCAUCAGAGGUUGCCAGAGGAUUGCGGGAUGUUGAUUACAGGAAGAUUUUAAGAAACCUCAAGGAGAGGGCAAUCUGCAAGGGACUUCCGCAGGUGGGUGAAAGGUUUGCAAAUCCAUUUUCAGCUGGGAUCAUCAUGGAACUUGAGACGAUUGGAUUUAAUGAAACAAAGGUAAACAGCUUUCUCCCAUCUACUGAUGUUAUGGAACAUGGUUUACACAUCAUUAAAUACUGCAACAACUGCCCUAUUUAGAUUUAGGGCAAUGAUGAAAAUAUCAGUAAUCACGGAUAUAUCAGUAUUUCGAUUUUACGGAUAUAUCGGAUAUAUCGGAGAUAUAUCGGUAGAUAUUUUGAAAAAAAAUAUCGGCAAGCUUAAAAUUGUUAAAAACUCAUGAAAAUAUAAGAAAAUCUCAUAAUAAUAUAAUUAAAAGUAUAAUAGACAUUUUAAAGUUAUUUUAUUGAAAAUUUUGAUAUAUGUAUAACAUGAUUUAUCAUAUUUGAUAAUAAUAUCGUAUGCGUCGAUAAAAAUAUGAAUUUUAUAAGUGUACAUUUAUUAUUAAAUUACACCUAAUAUUAUGAUAUCUGAUUAUAAUAUGUCUAAUUUUAAAAUAUAUAUUAGUAUUAAAAUAUGAUCCAUUUAAUUCAAUUGUAUUAAACAAUAUAAAAUAAAUAAUGAUAUAUAUAUAUAUAUAUAUAAUUUUUUAAUAUUUAAUUAAUUAUUAAUGAUAUUAAAAACAUUAUGAAGAAAAUUAUAUAAUUUUUUAAUUUUUGGUAAUUAAUUAAAAGACUUUGCAUUUAAUUAUAAAUUAAUUAUAAUUAAUUUACUCUUUAAAAUAUUCUUAUAUUUUCUUUAUAUAAUGAAUUUAAGUAUAUAUAUAGUUGUUGCAUAUUAUAUAUUAAAGGACAACUUAGCCCAAGUGGUAAGCGAGUGAACCCCAAUGUGAGGCAUUGUAGCACGUGCACUGUAGCAUCACUGUAGCGACUCUGACUUUCGUUGACCCGCAUUGACUACACGAUAUAUCGGAGAAAAAUCACUGAUUUAUCGCCAAAUCACCAAUAAAUCGCCGAUUUCUCGCGAUAAAUACCAAAAUAUAGUGUCGAAACCCUUCGAUACACGAUUUUUCGGCGCAUUUUCUUACUUGGAUUUACCUUUUUGUUCUUUGGGAUCUUCCAUGACUCAUUUUUUAAUGCCAUUUUAUUUUCCUUUUUGUUUCUAAAUUUUUAAAAAAUCGUUUUCACUUCUUUUUUUUAAGAAAAUUUUGGCAAAUUUUGAAAAUAUAAUAUUAGUGUUUUCACUUCUUUCUUUUUUUUUUUUUUCUUUUUUUUUUUAAACUCAAUUUUCUAAAAAAUGAAAAUAGAAAAACAUUGUCUAAACAUGUUUGUAAACUUAAUUUUAUUUUUUUAUAAAUGAAAAAAAAAAUCUAAAUGAGUAAGGCUUUAUUAAUUUUAAUUUUUUUCUUUUCCUUAUAUUUUCUUAUUUUAUUCCAAAUUUUCUUGCAACCAAACAUAAUCUAAAUGUUUACAACUUUUAUUGUAAGGAAUGAAUGACACUACUUUGUGAACUUUUAUGAUAAUAUUUUGAAUCAUAAAUUGUGUUUUUUUUAGUAAUAUCAAUUUUAUUACCAAUGACUUAAUUGUUAAUAACAAAAUAUAAUAUUUAUAAAUAUUUUUAUUCUCAACAGGCUACAAUUUUUACUCUUGUGAUAAAAAAAAUUUUGUCAUAAAUUACACAUUAUGAUGAGUUUUUCUAUUUUCCUUAUCAGCCAAUUCAACAAAUAUCAUAUAUAUUGUAAUGGCUAACAAAUUUUCACAUAAAUUUUUUAUAAGAUAAAGUAGAAUGGAAUUAUUCAAUUUCAAAAAAAAAAAAAAUGGUACCUAAUGAAAAAGAUAAAAUAUAUAGAUCAUCUCGAAGAAAUCAGGAAAGAUAAAUGAUGAGACCAUAUAUAGGACCCUUGAUGGAGACUAUUUUAAUUGAAGUGGUGUGCUCCUUCCGACUCAGAACAUGUUCAGCAUUGCACACAAACUAACAUCGUCGAUCUUGAGUAUGAAAAAGGUGAUUAGAUUCCAAGGUUGUCGUUUGUCCCAACUCCUCAUAUUAGAGGUGAUGCUCAAGCUAACGUGCCUCGCAGUUGAGCCCCGGCCAAUCGGUCUAAUAUGCUUUUCCAAUGGUGAGUUUCACUGCCACCAUGUAUUACAUUAAUUCCGAUAGCGCACAAGUUGUGUUUGUGCUAUUGCUUUUUGCCCUCACAAACAUAUACACAAGAGACAUUCAGACCAGAUCUGUUCUACCAUCCUCUAGGAAAGCAUUGUAGGUCAUUUGAAAUUGGGAUUUCAGCACCAGAGUCAAAUUGCCUUCCUUCCUGAAAGAUGAGCAUUUUUUAUACUCUUACAUCGGCUUUUAUGGAAAUGAAAUCAGCUUCUCAUUCUGUUACAUUUUUCAAUUUUGCUGCCUAUAACUGCUCACUGCCUGUUUGUGAGACAUUAUCCAGAUUUUCCCUGAUCAAUUAUAGAGAGGUCAUUGGACUCAUCCAUGAUUGGAAUUUCCUGUUAUCAUUAUUUGCAAAUCAUCAACCAUUUGUCAUGAUAUCUUAAGUUAAGCUGAGCACGAAUUUCAGCUAAGAUCCUCAGAACUAGAAAUAUGCACUGCAGGUAUUACUUGAUAUGUGAAUAUCCAAUACAAUAUUUUUUUACUAAGAGGAAUACGAAUUUGAAACACUUUCCAAUAAUUUAUCAAGUCAUAUUUUCGUGCUGUCGUGAUACAUGUGUCUACUGUAUGCAUGGCUUUUCUUUUCUACACAUGCCUUUAUCUUUGCACAUGACUCUUUUGAUACACGCCAGCAUCAAGGCAAUUGCCUAAAUCUAAAUCACAUCCUUUGUGUCACGUCUUCCUUGUUACCACGGUCCUCUUGUACACCAUGGUCCCUUAAUGUAACUUGUGCCACAAGCCCUUUGUGCAUGAAUUCAAAUUGUUCAAUCAUUUCGCCAUUUACACCUUUUAAGGUCCAAUAAGCGUAUACAAGAGACUACACUCAUUCUAGAUGAUAAAGUACAUUCAACUAACUACUCUUGCUAAUGAGCAUAUCCAAGUCAAUACAUAAGAUUAAUUAUUACAUAUGGUAAUUGAAACCCUGUUUAAAUAAAUAGUGACACAAAUAUAAAAAAUAUAUAUAUUUAAAAAUAAAUAAAUAACAAUUUAGAGAAUUUCAUAACUUAGUAUCAAACCUAUUGUAGGAAAGAGUAUUAUACAAUGUAGGGUUUAGGAUCAAAGUUAACCUAAGAUCAAUUUUAAGUUUUAAGACCAAUUCAAAUUCAAAACUAAGGUUUUAAGUUUCAAAAAUAUAUCUCUUAAACCAAUUAAAUAGAAAAAAGAAAAUUACAAAGAAAAUUUCUUCCUCAUCGGUUUCUUUUAUCUUGAAAACUAAAGGAAAUAUAUAUCAAUAUUUGAGAUGGAAAUUCAUAAUCUUAGAAACACAAAGAACAAAGAGAGUAUGAAGAGACCAUACCAUGAGAGAUUUUCCAAAAGGUUGGUAAACCAUGGUAAUCACCUUUGAGUUUUGCUGAGAAAAACAAACCUUAAUUUUUAUUUUUAUUUUUUUAUCAUUUUUUCUCUUGUGGUGUACAUUUAAGAAAAACAAAUCUUAAAAAAAAAAAAAAAAAAACCAAAUAAUGCCAGAAUUUGGGUUGAGAAACACCCAAAAGAUAGUGGCCCAAUACAUGUGCCUAAGAAAAUCUUCAUGAGCCGAUAAACAUAGUCACAAAACUAGUAACAGCCUUGUAGCCAUAGUUGGUGUAGUAUGAGCAAGUGGGGUAUGAAGUAGGUAGGUGAGUAUUGCAAUGAAAUUUCCAGCACUGCUUCCUGAAUUAAGAAAUCACAUACCCAAGUCUUAGUCGUCGUCGUCGUACCGUGUGAGAACCGGGAAGAAUCUUUGCUCGUAGAGUGGCUUUUGUAGUCUUUCUUUAACAAUUACAAGUUAUCUGAAUUCCCUUCAUCCUCCUAUAUAAUAUUGUUUUUGGUCUUGUUCUUGUUGCAUUGUGGCUAGGCAUCUCCAUGGAAGGAAGGAGGAUGAAUCAAGUUCCUUUGUAUGAAUCAAUUUCUCUGCUCUUUUUCUUUUCAAUCCGUGAAUCGAAUCAUUGCUUAGUUCUUGCUUUAAUUUCUCCAUUUUCUGUUGGGUCUUUGACUGCAGGUUUAGCUCUGCAAGAGAACUGGGAAAUUUAAUGGUGACCUCCAAUCUAAUCGACUCUGCUUUGACUAAAAUUCUUGAGCUUCAAAGAGACCAAACAGCCUUGCUUUCCUCCGUUCAAUACAGAGUUUUUUAUCCAUCUCCCAAGUGCACAAUUGUAGCUUUUGUCUCUUCACCUGACUGCACUCAAAACCCUCUUCCUGGACAAGGAGAUUUAGUUCCGUCUCCUCUCUUUGACUUCCUCUGCACCGAAGAAUACAAGUCCGUCUCCAUUAACAGAGCUGCAUUAACCCUCUUUACCUCUUUCCACGAUCAUCUCUCUGGACUAAAAACUCAGGUCAAAAUAUGAUAGUUGUUUUUAUUUUCGUUUCCUUUUUGUUAACAAUUGUGAGACAUGAAACAGCUUGACCAUGAGAUCUCUCUCAUAGAGUCAAACUACCUGAAGAAGAAGAAGACGUUACACAUAUCCAUCUGCGUUGCAUCAUCGCAUUACCCAUUGAUCGGUUGUGAUUCAACUCUUAAUAGGAAGACAGUAGAACUGGUGUUGGUAUCUGUUUUUAGAUCAGCUUAUAUGUAUCUUGUUUCUAAAAAAGGUAAGUUUAGAAGUGAGAUUAAUGGGAUUAUUCUGACAUGGAUUCCAUAUGGUUACCUGUUUUGCAGUUGACUCAGAUUGAAGGUCAAUUAAUCAUCACUGGGCACUCCCUGGGAGGAUCCGUUGCUUCUCUCUUCACCUUAUGCCUGCUAGAUGGAAAUUUAUUAAAACCCAACUGCCGCCCCUUUUGUAUCACCUUUGGUUCACCCCUCAUCGGCGGCUUUGGCCUCCAACACUCCAUAUGGAAUUCUUUCUUCCUGCAUGUAGUGUCUAACCAAGACCCAGUCCCCGGUCUCUUCCUCCCAUCUGGCAGAGGCAGAUCUACGCCCACAUCCUCCCAUUCACAAACUACCGGUUACAAGCCCUUUGGGACAUAUCUCUUGUGCUCUGAACUUGGUUGUGCUUGUUUGGAAAAGCCUGAUUUAAUUUUGGGAUUGCUGAAAGUCAGAUCAUCCGAGGUUGCCGGAGGAUUGCAGGAUGUUGAUUAUGGGGAGAUUUUAAGAAACCUCAAGGAGAGGGCAAUCUGCAAGGGACUUCAGCAGGUGGGUGAAAGGUUUGCAGAUCCUUUUACAGCUGGGAUCAUCAUGGACCUUGAGAUAAUUGGAUUUGAUCAAACAAAGGUAAACAGCUAGCUUUCUCCCAUCUAAUGAUGUUAUGAAACAUGGUUUACACUUCACCAAAUACUGCAACAACUGCCCUAUUUAGAUUUGCCGUCUUGUUCUUUGGGAUCUUCCAUAACUAGACUCAUUUUUUAAUUUCAUGGCAGCUGCUGCAGCAUAACAUUGAUAUCGAGACUGUGAUAAGCACAAUGGAAGAGGAAGCCAGAAACCCAACCAAAAAAAAUAAAGCUUUCGAUGCCAAGAUUCUGAAUCACAAAAAAAAAGACAUGGCCGGGCUAGAAUGGUAUAAGAAGAAAUCAAAAGAUCUGAACAAGGGUUACUACGACUGCUUCAAAAACCAGGGGUCAAAAAGGGACAUUAAAAUUGAACAGUAUGGGGGACACCUCACAUUAUACUGGAAAGACAUGGUUGCACAAGUACAGAGGAAGCCCCAGAAGGAAGGAGCAACAUUUCGAACCCGUUGGCUCUAUGCAGGGACGGUUUAUAGAAGAAUGGUUGAACCACUGGACAUUGCUGCCUUCUACGUAGAGGGUGGAACAGACUACAUGAAGAAUGAAAGAUCUCUUCAUUACAAGCUGUUGCAGCAAUGGUAUGAGGAAGAUGUGAAACCCCCCUCUAAGGAUAAGCUUGAUUCCAAGAAGCAAAAGGUGUCUGGUAUCCUAACUGAGGAUUCUUGCUUUUGGGCACAUGUGGAGGAGGCUAUCUUGUCAUGCGAAUUGCUUAAGAGUGAAAACUGUACUCUUGAGCAGGAAAAAUCAUCAUGGGAUAAUCUGGUUAAGUUCGAGGAGUAUGUAAUGGAACAGAUUAACAACUAUGCAGUGUCCCCUGAGAUUUUCUUGGGGGAAAGCAGCUUCAUGAAAUGGUGGGGACUGUAUGAGGGCUACAUAUAUGCUCGCAGUAAUUCCCAUAGGUCACCAUUGAUCAGCUUUAUGAAGAACGGUAGUUAUACAGAGUAUCGUUAGAGGGGUAAUCCAGUUUGUGUGUUGUGUGUAUUGUUUUGUGAGCAUUCAAUGGAUAGAACUAGAAAGAGUGUGACCUUUUUCCUUUUUUUCUUCUAGUUGCUGCCCAUAUUCUCAGCACUAUUUUCUUCCUUCUUUUCCUCAGUUUUUUCUUAAGAAAUGAAUAUUAUGAUGUUGCUGGGAUGCACUUUCAUUUUUGUUCCAUUACAUUGUGUUUUAUUCAUAUCCUAAACAAAUAAAUGUAAACAAGAAAAUCAAAUAAGACUUCAAAGAGUCUGUUCCUUUUAAAGCAAGGGAAAAAAAGGACAUGUUUGUUUACUUCCACAGCUGGGUAGAUUCAACUCCACCAAAAUUGGCAACAACUUCCCAUUGAAAAAUUCCUUCUAAGCUUGAAUGACAUAAAACUAGAUAUGUUCCAGCUAGAAUGGUACAAAAAAGAAAUCAAAAGAUGAGCACAAUGGGUUAUUAUGACAGCUUUAGAAACCAUCUUACAACACAUCCAUCAGAAUUUAGACUAUUCAUAGAAACAUUCUUAACAUGUAAAUCUACUAUUGCCAUGCACGUCAACAUAGAAUUUCUAAAAUGAUUGAAUAAAAUAAAUAAAACAAAAGAAACCCUUCCAAGAGAAUUUCAUAAUCUAAUGUCAAAUCUAUUACGAAGAUGAACAUGUAAAAUUUAAGGUUUAUAAUCAAAGUCGACUUGAAUCUGAGUUUUAAAACCAAUUUGCAGUUUUUAAGUUUGGAGACUAGAUCUCUUAAACCAAUUAAAUGUAAAAAACUAAAAAGAAAACUUCUUCAAAUUUUGAAAUGAGAAUGAGAAUGCAAUUCCUAACUAGUUUCUUCAUCAAAAAUCCCGAAAAAAAAAAAAAAAGAAGAGAGAGAGAGACCAUAGACGCCAGUGUUUGGGUUUAGAACCACCCAAGAGAGAGUAGUCCAAUAUAUGGGCUUAAGAAAAUCCUCAUGGGCCUAAGCUAAGACUAGGAACAAUCUUGUAUCCGUGGUUGGUUUAGUAUGAGCAUGUGUACUGCGAAGGAAGUAGCUGAGAAUUGCAAUGGAAUUUCCAGUACUGCUUCCUGAACGAACAAAUCGCAUACCCAAGAUUUGGUCGUCAACGCCAUGCUGGGUGAGAACCGGGGAAGCAUCUUCGCUCGUUGACGAGCUUUUGUAGUCCUUCUUUAACAAUUAUAAGGCAUCUGAAUUCCCUUCAUCCUCCCACACCAUUGUUUUUGGUCUUGUUCUUGUUGCUUUGUGACUACGCAUCUCCAUGGAAGGAAGGAGGAUGAACCAAGUUCCUUUGUAUGCAUCAAUUUUACUGUUUUUUUUUUCCUUUUUAAUCUUUGGAUCGAAUCAUUGCUUAGUUCUUGCUUAAUUUCUCCAUUUUAUGUUGGGUCUUUGAUUGCAGGUUUAGCUCUGCGCGAGAACUGGGAAAUUUAAUUGUGACCUCCAAUCUAAUCGACUCUGCUUUGACUAAAAUUCUUGAGCUUCAAAGAGACCAAACAGCCUUGCCUUCCCCCGUUCAAUACAGAGUUUUUUAUCCAUCUCCCAAGUGCACAAUUGUAGCUUUUGUCUCUUCACCUGACUGCACUCAAAACCCUCUUCCUGGACAAGGAGAUUUAGUUCCCUCUCCUCUCUUUGACUUCCUCUGCACCGAAGAAUACCCUUCCGUCUCCAUUAACGGAGCCGCAUUAACCCUCUUUACCUCUCUCUACGAUCAUCUCUCUGGACUAAUAGAUGAGGUCAAAAUCUGAUACUUGUUUUAAUUUACGUUAACUUUUCGUUAACAAUUGUGAGACACGUAUAUAUAUAUAUAUAUAUAUAUAUCUUGUGGAUAAAAGGAAAGUUUACAAGUGAGAAUAGUGGCAUUUUUCUGACAGAUUUCACACCGUUGCUUGUUUUGCACUUGACUGUGAUUGAAGGUCGAUUAAUCAUCACUGGGCACUCGAUGGGAGGAUCCGUUGCUUCUCUCUUCACCUUAUGCCUGCUAGAAGUCAUUAAUAUAUCAAAACCCAAAUGCCGCCCCAUUUGCAUCACAUUUGGUUCACCCCUCAUAGGCGACUUUGGCUUCCAACACUCCAAUUGGAAUUCUUUCUUCUUGCAUGUAGUGUCCAACCAAGAUCUAGUCCCCGGACUCUUCCUCCCAUCCGGCAGAUCUCCUCCCACAUCCUCCCAUUCACAAACUACUGGUUACAAGCCCUUUGGGACAUAUCUCUUGUGCUCUGAACUUGGUUGUGCUUGUUUUGACAACCCUGAUUUAAUUUUGGAAUUGCUGAAAGUCAUAUCAUCAGAGGUUGCCGGAGGAUUGCGGGAUGUUGAUUACAGGAAGAUUUUAAUAAACCUCAAGGAGAGGGCAAUCUUCAAGGGACUUCAGCAGGUGGGUGAAAGGUUUGCAGAUCCCUUGUCAGCUGGGAUCAUCAUGGACCUUGAGAUAAUUGGAUUUGAUCAAACAAAGGUAAACAGCUUUCUCCCAAUUAAUGAUGUAGCAUGGUUUACACUCAACUUCACCAAAACCUGCAACAACUGCCCUAUUUAGAUUUGCCUUCCGGUUCUUUGGGUUCUUCUAUAACUUCUCAUUUUUUAAAUCCAUGGCAGCUGUUGCGGCACAACAUUGAUAUCAACACUGUGAUAAGGAUACUGGGAGCGGAAGCCAGAAUCCUAGCCCACAAAAAUAAAGCUUCUGAUGCCAAGAAACUGAAUGACAUAAAAAUACACAUGGCCCAGCUAGAAUGGUAUAAGAAGAAAUCAAAAGAUCUGAACAAGGGUUACUACGACUGCUUCAAAAACCAGGGGUUAAAAAGGGACAUUAAAAUUGAACAGUAUAGGGGACACCUCACAAUAUACUGGAAAGACAUGGUUGCACAAGUACAGAGGAAGCCCCAGAAGGAAGGAGCAUCAUUUCGAACCAGUUGGCUCUAUCCAGGGACAACUUAUAGAAGAAUGGUUGAACCACUGGACAUUGCUGCCUUCUACAGAGAGGGUAGAACAGACUACAUAAACAAUGGAAGAUCUCCUCAUUACAAGCUGUUGCAGCAAUGGUAUGAGGAAGAUGUGAAGCCCCCAUCCAGAGAUAAGCUCGAUUCCAAGAAACUAAAGGUGUCUGGUAUCCUAACUGAGGAUUCUUUGUUUUGGGCACAUGUGGAGGAGGCUCUCUUGUCAUGCGAAUCGCUCAAGAGUGCAAACUCUACUCUUGAGCAGAGAAAAUCAUCAUGGGAUAAUCUGGUUAAGUUUGGGGAGUAUGUAAUGGAACAGAUUGGAAACUAUGCAGUGUCCCCUGAGAUUUUCUUGGGGGAAAGCAGCUUCAUGAAAUGGUGGGGAGUGUAUGAGGACUACAUAGAUGCUUCCAAUAAUUUCUAUGGGUCACCAUUGAUCAACUUUAUGAAGGACCGUAGUUAUAGACUGUAUGGUUAGAGGGCAAUCCAGUUUGUGUAUUGUGUUUAUUGUAUUGUGAGCAUUCAAUAGAUAAAACUAGAAAGAGCGUGACCUUUUUAUGACAACUUUAGAAACCAGGGGUUAAAAGAGACAUUACAAAUUGAAUUUUUUGAGAGGAAACCUCAAGAGUAUACUGGGAAGCCAUGGUGGAACAAGUAGAGAGGAAGCUUCGGAAGGAAGGAUCAAUGGUUGAACCACUUGACAUUGUUGCCUACUUCAGGGAGGGUGUAAGAAACAACAUAACCGAGGGAAGAUCUGAACAUUAAACAUUGUACAAUUAUUGUAAAUGUCUUAUACAUUACGUGUGAAAAUACCAAAAAAAAUUAUAUUCAACAUUUAUGUUUGUAUACAAGCAAUAUUUUGGAUAGUUUGAUAUAAAAAACAAAUGAAGAAAACGAAGAAAAACAUACAAAUAUAUUUACAAUGGACAAACUUAUACAAUUAGUGUAAAUGUCUUGUAUAUUUAGUACAAAAGUCUCGUACUUUGUAAAAAUAUAAAAAUAUAGUAUUUGACUUUUAUAUAUGUGUGAAAAUGUAAAAGGAAAAAGAAAAAUAGUUAGAGCAUUUGGUACCGUGAGUGAUGACUUCACCUAAAGAAAGGUUAAUGAAUAUUAUGGUCUCGAUGGAAGAGCGACUCCGGUAAAAUAUAUGGAUUAAAUUGAUGCUUUUCUUUUGACGAUGAAGUAGUUGAGUUAUGAAUACGAGGUUUUGCUAACAACAUUGAAGGCAAGGAUUCCCUAAUAUACUCCAAUUCAUAUUCAAUUUGUAGACCUUCAACUAACUACUCUUGCUAAUGAGCAUAUCCAAGUGAAUACAUAAGAUUAAUUAUUACAUAUGAUAAUUGAAACCCUGUUUAAAUAAAUAGUGACACAAAUAUAAAAAAUAUAUAUAUUUAAAAAUAAAUAAAUAAUAAUUUAGAGAAUUUCAUAACUUAGCAUCAAACCUAUUGUAGGAAAGAGUAUUAUACAAUGUAGGGUUUAGGAUCAAAGUUAACCUAAGAUCAAAUUUAAGUCUUAAGACCAAUUCACAUUCAAAACUAAGGUUUUAAAUUUCAAAAAUAUAUCUCUUAAACCAAUUAAAUGGAAAAAAGAAAAUUACAAAGAAAAUUUCUUCCUCAUCGGUUUCUUUUAUCUUGAAAACUAAAGGAAAUAUAUAUCAAUAUUUGAGAUGGAAAUUCAUAAUCUUAGAAACACAAAGAACAAAGAGAGUAUGAAGAGACCAUACCAUGAGAGAUUUUCCAAAAGGUUGGUAAACCAUGGUAAUCACCUUUGAGUUUUGCUGAGAAAAACAAACCUUAAUUUUUAUUUUUAUUUUUUUAUCAUUUUUUCUCUUGUGGUGUACAUUUAAGAAAAACAAAUCUUAAAAAAAAAAAAAAAAAAACCAAAUAAUGCCAGAAUUUGGGUUGAGAAACACCCAAAAGAUAGUGGCCCAAUACAUGUGCCUAAGAAAAUCUUCAUGAGCCGAUAAACAUAGUCACAAAACUAGGAACAGCCUUGUAGCCAUAGUUGGUGUAGUAUGAGCAAGUGGGGUAUGAAGUAGGUAGGUGAGUAUUGCAAUGAAAUUUCCAGCACUGCUUCCUGAAUUAAGAAAUCACAUACUCAAGUCUUAAUCGUUGUCAUCAUACCGUGUGAGAACCGAGGAAGAAUCUUUGCUCUUAGACUGGAUUUUGUAGUCUUUCUUUAACAAUUACAAGUUAUCUGAAUUCCCUUCAUCCUCCUAUAUAAUAUUGUUUUUGGUCUUGUUCUUGUUGCAUUGUGGCUAGGCAUCUCCAUGGGAGGAAGGAGGAUGAAUCAAGUUCCUUUGUAUGAAUCAAUUUCUCUGCUCUUUUUUUUUUCAAUCCUUGAAUCGAAUCAUUGCUUAGUUCUUGCUUUAAUUUCUCCAUUUUCUGUUGGGUCUUUGAUUGCAGGUUUAGCUCUGCAAGAAAACUGGGAAAUUUAAUUGUGACCUCCAAUCUAAUCGACUCUGCUUUGACUAAAAUUCUUGAGCUUCAAAGAGACCAAACAGCCUUGCCUUCCCCCGUUCAAUACAGAGUUUUUUAUCCAUCUCCCAAGUGCACAAUUGUAGCUUUUGUCUCUUCACCUGACUGCACUCAAAACCCUCUUCCUGGACAAGGAGAUUUAGUUCCCUCUCCUCUCUUUGACUUCCUCUGCACCGAAGAAUACAAGUCCGUCUCCAUUAACAGAGCUGCAUUAACCCUCUUUACCUCUCUCCACGAUCAUCUCUCUGGACUAAAAACUCAGGUCAAAAUAUGAUAGUUGUUUUUAUUUUCGUUUCCUUUUUGUUAACAAUUGUGAGACAUGAAACAGCUUGACCAUGAGAUCUCUCUCAUAGAGUCAAACUACCUGAAGAAGAAGAAGACGUUACACAUAUCCAUCUGCGCUGCAUCAUCGCAUUACCCAUUGAUCGGUUGUGAUUCAACUCUUAAUAGGAAGACAGUAGAACUGGUGUUGGUAUCUGUUUUUAGAUCAGCUUAUAUGUAUCUUGUUGCUAAAAAGGGAAAGUUUAGAAGUGAGAUUAAUGGGAUUAUUCUGACAUGGAUUUCAUAUGGUUACCUGUUUUGCAGUUGACUGUGAUUGAAGGUCGAUUAAUCAUCACUGGGUACUCGAUGGGAGGAUCCGUUGCUUCUCUCUUCACCUUAUGCCUGUUAGAAGUCAUCAAUUUAUCAAAACCCAAAUGCCGCCCCAUUUGUAUCACCUUUGGUUCACCCCUCAUAGGCGACUUUGGCCUCCAACACUCCAAUUGGAAUUCUUUCUUCUUGCAUGUAGUGUCCAACCAAGAUCUAGUCCCCGGACUCUUCCUCCCAUCCGACAGAUCUCCUCCCACAUCCUCCCAUUCACAAAC